rnacentral:lncRNA from 1 species
GCCCAUGGUGCGGGCACUUGACCAAAAGAUCAUGAAAUAUUUCCCAAAGUUGGGAAAAUUCCUCCUCUGAUUUUUCUCUAAAAGUUCUGAUGGCAUCUUUAAUUUUUUCAGUUUUUACCAUGGGAUAGAACUUAGCCAUAAACUUCCUAGAUAGCUGUUCCCAUGAUGUGAUGGAAUUUGAAGCAAGGGAAUACAGCCAUGCAGCAGCACGAUCUUCUAAAGUCAUGGGAAAUAA